UCAUCACUUUAUUACUUGUUACGAUUCGUGCACUUGCGAAAUUAACCAACAGUUCUCACCCAAAUAAAAAACAUCAUUUUAGCAUUUAAAAUAAUUAUUGGGCCUAUCACCUUCAUGCAAAGAUUAUCAUACACAAGUAAUUGGUUUUAUUUUUCUUUUCUCCUUAUUUUCUUGGUUUGCUUUUUGUCUAUGGUUUCAGUUAAUUCUUCUUCUUAUUCACCAGUGGCUGUUGUUGUGGUUUAGACCGAAGCGUGAUGACGAAUUGUGUAUAGGGUUAAUGAGUUUCAGUUGGAAUCGAUGGAGGCUGCGUUGGUCGUCACUCACAGUGACAAUGAAGAGGAGGGAGGCAAAUGGGCUGAUUCGGUGCUGGAUCAUGACUUGGUGACUGAUAGUGGCUGAAAUGGUUUCGCUGCUGGAGAAGCUCCCAGUGCGGUGUUGCCGACAAGAAGAAAUAGUUGUCUUGGGUUGCUGCCGCUGUGAGGUGAUUUGGUGGAGUCUGUGGUGGGUCUUAGCUAGAAAGGAGAACUAUGAUAAGGCCGACAAAGCUGCUGUGCGGCUAGAAUAAGGAGAGAAGGUUGAAGAAGAUGGAAUCGGUGGAGAGCGGCUGAUUUGCUCACGAUGGAGGUUUUUUAGCUGUGGCCGAGAGAGGAAGAGGAGGGUCAGGUGAAGGCUUUGUUGGAGAUGCUAAGGUUGAUGGCGUGAAGGAGUGAUAGAGACGAUCUUCAACAAUGAGAACAGGAGAAAUAGGCUAGUGUGUGGUGGGCCUCUCUAAUGUUUCGGGUGGCCUUGUUUGUGCG
rnacentral:lncRNA from 1 species